rnacentral:rRNA from 1 species
UGGGGAAUUGUUCGCAAUGGGCGCAAGCCUGACGACGCAACGCCGCGUGGAGGAUGAAGACCUUCGGGUCGUAAACUCCUUUCGAUCGAGACGAAUGGCCUCCGGGUGAACAAUCCGGAGGAGUGACGGUACCGAGAGAAGAAGCCCCGGCUAACUCUGUGCCAGCAGCCGCGGUAAAACGUAGGAGACGAACGUUAUCCGGAGUUACUGGGCGUAAAGGGCGUGUAGGCGGUUUGUUAAGUCUGGCGUGAAAGCUCUCGGCUAAACCGGGAGAGGUCGUUGGAUACUGGCGAACUAGAGGAUGGUAGAGGCGUGUGGAAUUCCGGGUGUAGUGGUGAAAUGCGUAGAUAUAGGAAGGAACACCAGUGGCGAAGGCGACCACCUGGACUGAUACUGACACUGAGGUGCGAAAGCGUGGGGAGCAAACAGGAUUAGAUACCCCCGUAGUCCCUGAGCGGGCUGGCAAGGCGCAU